UGAAUACGAGAUGCUACGGCGUCGAAGCAGUGUAUGUCAGACUUCCAAGAAAAGCUCGCAAUGUCAUAAAUAAAGAAUGCCUGUACCAUAACCGACACAGGUGGGUAGGUAGAGUAUACUAAGGGGCGCGAGAUAACUCUCUCUAAGGAACUCGCAAAAUAACUCCGUAACUUCGGGAGAAGGAGUGCCUUCUUUAAGAAGGUUGCAAUAACAAGAUCCAAGCAACUGUUUAUCAAAAACACAGGUCUCCGCUAAGUCGUAAGACGAUGUAUGGGGGCUGACGCCUGCCCAGUGCCAGAAGGUUAAAGAAGUUGGUUAGCUUUUGCGAAGCUGAUGACUGAAGCCCUGGUGAACGGCGGCCGUAACGAUAACGGUCCUAAGGUAGCGAAAUUCCUUGUCGGGUAAGUUCCGACCCGCACGAAAGGCGUAAUGAUUUGGAUACUGUCUCGGAGAGGGACUCGGUGAAAUAGACUUGUCUGUGAAGAUGCGGACUACCUGCACCAGGACAGAAAGACCCUAUGAAGCUUUACUGUAACUUGAAAUUGAAAUUGGACUUUAUUCGCGCAGUAUAGGUGGAAGGCGUUGAAAGUAAUCUUGCGGGAUUAGUGGAGCCAUCAGUGAGAUACCACUCCUAUAAUGUUAGAUUUCUAACUUUGGAUCAUGAUCUGGUCAAAGAACAGUUUCAGGCGGGCAGUUUGACUGGGGCGGUCGCCUCCCAAAUGGUAACGGAGGCGUACAAAGGUUUCCUCUGAACGGGUAGAAAUCGUAUCUAGAGUGUAAAGGCAUAAGGAAGCUUGACUGUGAGACCUACAAGUCGAGCAGGGACGAAAGUCGGUCUUAGUGAUCUGACGGUGCUGAGUGGAAAGGCCGUCACUCAACGGAUAAAAGUUACUCUAGGAUAACAGGCUGAUCUCCCCCAAGAGUUCACAUCGACGGGGAGGUUUGGCACCUCGAUGUCGGCUCAUCGCAUCCUGGGGCGGUAGUACGUCCCAAGGGUUGGGCUGUUCGCCCAUGAAAGCGGUACGCGAGCUGGGUUCAGAACGUCGUGAGACAGUUCGGUCCAUAUCCGGUGUAGGCGUUAGAAUAUUGAGAGGAGCCUUCUUUAGUACGAGAGGACCGAGAAGGACAUACCUCUGGUGUACCAGUUAUCGUGCCAACGGUAAACGCUGGGUAGCUAUGUAUGGAGAGGAUAACCGCUGAAAGCAUCUAAGUGGGAAGCCCACCUCAAGAUGAG
rnacentral:rRNA from 1 species